CUGCACAAACCAAUAAGUAAACAUAUAAAUAAAUUAAAACAAACAUACUUGCGAUCAUCGCCAAACCUUUGAAACUCACAGCCAACGCUUUGUGCAGUCAGCAGGAUGCAUCCAUCGACUGCACAAACUUUUCCAGAAGUUCUUUGACAUGUACUGCCACUGUUGAUUCUUUCAAGAAGGGCAAAAGACAAUUUUAUAUACCCAUCGCUCGGCCGUGCACAGUGUUUUCACCUCGAACGUCAGAACGCUAAUGAGUGAAUUUUUUAUUUUAC